AUUCCGGGGCCCUGGUUUCUUGGCGCGAUGGUGAGGCACCAGGGGCUAAGCCAGGCUUGGGCUGCUGGAGCGGGAAUGAGGGGGCGCCAGUGGCUCCGGAAACUGGGGGAGGUUGUACUGGCCUCUCCGCAAACACAGUGUGUGCGGCGUGAGGGCUGCGGGUCUGGUAGGGAAAAGUCCACCGCUCUCCCGCUCCCGAGACGGAGAGGGGCGGGGGUAGGGGGCGGGUAAGACAGCGCAGGCCGGCCGGCUUAGAGUCCCGGUGCUUCCCUGGCAGAAGGAAGGGCCCCUGCCUCCCGGGGCAGACUAGGGCUUGUCUGGAGCUGGGAGUCCUUUCAGGUCUUCCCCAUCCCCAAGAGGACCUCCCAAGGAUACCCCCUUCCCCAGCCCUGCUGUGGGGGUUUGUUCAAGAAGGUGCUUAGAAUCAGUAUCGCUCUUGCACACUGUUAGGAAGCCCCUCCGCUCUUUCCAGAGCCAGAAAGUAGUAGUUUGGGGGUUGAGACUUAUCCAUCCAUCCAUCCAUCCAUCCGUAGGUUCUAAGCGCCUAGUCUAUACCAUGAAGUGUACUAGGCACUGGGAGGACUUGAGCUGCCAAGGGAAGGGGAAAUCGGAGGCUUGAACUGGAGUCAUAGUUAAGGCUCCAGGGGCAGAGACCUAACUGCGCCUUGUGUGUAGUGCUGAGGGGGCUCCCUGAGGAUGCCUUCAACCUUAAAGGCGGAUGGCAGGAGCUGGCUGGCUGAAGUACAGUUUGUGUACCAGGGGUUGGGAGGCAAGGGUGGGAGACGUGUGUCUUCAGACAGGGAACAGCAUGUGCAGAGACUUCAGGUGAGAGGGAGCAUGGCUCCCCAGGAAUGAAUGCAUUUCCCAUAGCUGGGAGAGUAUCAUCUGGAGGUUAGGGAAGAUGAGGCUGGACAAGAACAAAUCUUCCUGGCUCUUGGAUCACCACAAUCAAGAUAACAUAUCCACCUGCCUCCAUAAUUUCCUUGUAUGAGGGGCUAUUUUAAGAAGUAUAAUCAAGAAGGGCUGUUCUGGCCGGGUGCAGUGGCUCACGCUUGUAAUCCUAGCACUUUGGGAGAGUGAAGAGGGUGGAUCACCUGAGGUCAGGAGUUCGAGACCAGUAUGGCCAUGGCACUCCAGCCUGGGCAACAGAGGGAGACUCUGUCUUAUUUUUUUAUUUUUUAAAAAAAGAAGGGCUGCUCUGAUGUGUCACUUAAAGGAUAGCAAGCCACUGGCCAGGCGCCGUGGCUCAGGCCUGUAAUACCAGCACUUUGAGAGGCUGAGGGGGGCGGAUCACCUGAGGUCAGGAGUUCGAGACCAGCCUGGCUAACAUGGUGAAACCCUGUCUCUACUAAAAAUACAAAAUUAGCCGGGUGUGGUGGCACAUGCCUGUAAUCCCAGCUACUUGGGAGGCUGAGGCAGGAGAAUCAUUUGAACCUGGGAAGCGGAGUUUGCGGUGGGCCAAGGUCACGCCAUUGCACUCCAGCCUGGGGAACAAGAGUGAAACUGUCUCAAAAAAAAAAAAAAAAAAAAAAAAAGGAUAGCAAGCCACCCAGAGAGUGCAGCAGGCAUGGAGGCAGGAGCAAGGCUGGUGUCCCCGAGCAGCAGCAGGGAAGCCGGAGUGGCUGGACUUGUGUGGGUAUGGGGAAGAGGGGAGAGAGGUCACUCGUCUCUGUUAGGCACAGGACCUUGUUUUAUUCCCUGCUGUACCCCCAGCACUUAGGUUGGGAGCUAGCACAGAGAAGGCACUCAAUUGAUGUUUGCUGAGCAGAUGAAUCCCUGGAGUAGACCUCAGAGCAGGGUUUGGUGGCAGGGUGGGUCAGGGAGAGAGUUUACUCAAAAGCCUGGUGAUAGGGGAGAACAAGAGGCCAGAGGGUAUCCAUCUAUGUCGGGGACCAGGGGUCCCUGGUGGGCAGCAGUGUGGGAGACACACGGAUCUUGGCCACACCUCAGGCCUUCCUCCAGCCUGAUUACCUGCCUCCCUCCCUUGCAGAGGUUCCGGUUCUGUGGUGAUCUGGACUGUCCCGACUGGGUCUUGGCAGAAAUCAGCACGCUGGCCAAGAUGGUUGAGUGCACAGGGUCUAGUCUGGGUGGAGGAGGGGUGUUGGGCUGGGGAUUGUGGGUGUAGAGGAUGGUGAGGUUUCUCUGGGGUUAGGCCCUCAGUGCUCUCAGCCUGUGCUACCAUGCUUUGUGACCUUGAUCAGUGGCUGGCCUGCUCUGAGGCUGUCCCCAGGAAGGAGGGGUGAGGUUUGCCAGCCUGGCUGAUGUAAGGACUUCCCUUCCAGUCCUCUGUGAAGUUGCGGCUGCUCUGCAGCCAGGUACUAAAGGAGCUGCUGGGACAGGGAAUUGAUGUGAGUACAAGACCCAGCACCCCAUUGUCCCAUGACCUUAUGACCCCCACUGCCCUGAAACUGUGCACUAGACCCGGGGAGACAGGUGAACCAGCCUCUCAACCUCUCUGGGCACCUCCCUUCCUUCUUUCCAGCUUGUCUGUUCCUUAUCGCAGGAUCCAGGCUAGGGGUGAGGGGCUGGUGAGCAGGGGCCUGGCACCCCCUGAAGGUCUCCUUUCCCCUUAGUAUGAGAAGAUCCUGAAGCUCACGGCUGACGCCAAGUUUGGUGAGUACCUUGCUGAGUCUACAGGCCCCAGGCAACCCUGCGAACUUGGCCUGGUACCUGGUACAGAGGGGCCCCCUACCCCUCCCAGCAGCAUCCUUAACUUACCUUCCGUAGUGGAGGAGCAUGAGGGAAAGAAAGACUGACAGUCCCACCUUCUUGUCCUCUGCCAGCUCCUGGUGGAGCAGUAGCAGUGCCUGUGGCUCCAGGAGGCCUGGGGACUUUGAGCUGAAGUUAAUAGGGCAAAAGGGAGGUGGCUGGGCCCACAGUGACACCCCCUGUCCCAUAUACGGGUCCCUCAGAGUCAGGUGAUGUGAAGGCCACAGUGGCAGUGCUGAGUUUCAUCCUCUCCAGUGCGGCCAAGCACAGUGUCGAUGGCGAAUCCUUGUCCAGUGAACUGCAGCAGCUGGGGCUGCCCAAAGGUACGGGUUGUGGGUGGGCAGCUGGGCAGCCUGUGGGCCAAGGGCUGCUAGAGAGGGGGACGGACCCUGAGGUGUACCCUGCCCUGUUUGGGCCAGGAGCCCAAGCUCAGCUCCCACCUGCUACCUCCAGAGCUACUCCAUUCUACCCCCAGAGCACGCGGCCAGCCUGUGCCGCUGUUAUGAGGAGAAGCAAAGCCCCUUGCAGAAGCACUUGCGGAUCUGCAGCCUACGCAGUAAGUAUGAGGCCAGCCAGGGUCCGGGCUCAUUCUAGAAGGUGCACGCAGCACGCAAAGUGCAUGGAGAGUCCAGGGAGACGACUUAACCAUGGUCACAUGGUUACUAGCAGCCGUAGAGCUGGGACCUGGCCCUGGGUCUCCUGACUCCCCCCAAGGUUUCUUGUCACUGAGGUCUGCUGUGGGUGAUCCAAACUUAUUAUCGGGCACUGCCCUGUUGUGAGCCUGGGUCAGCAAGAUGGGAGCUUCUUAGAGGCCACAUAGCCUUAAAAGGUUGAGAGCUGAGCCAGGGUGUCGGCUGAGGGCCACUUGUCUCGUCUGCUUUGAUCCUGAGAGCCACCCACCCCAUCUCACAGUGAAUAGGUUGGCAGGUGUGGGCUGGCGGGUGGACUACACCCUGAGCUCCAGCCUGCUGCGGUCCGUGGAAGAGCCCAUGGUGCACCUGCGGCUGGAGGUGGCAGCUGCCCCAGGGACCCCAGCCCAGCCUGUUGCCAUGUCCCUCUCAGCAGACAAGUUCCAGGUCCUCCUCGCAGGUGAGGCUCAGCUAUUCCUCAACAGGUAAGAGGCUCUCCCAGAUCUGCCUGACUGCCUCCCGCCUGCCCACCUCUUCCCUCUGCAGAACUGAAGCAGGCCCAGACCCUGAUGAGCUCCCUGGGCUGAGGAGAAGGGUGUUGCAGGCCUGUGUGGAGCCGCCCUGCCCGUAUGGAGUCACACCCUCUGAACUGCUCUUUGGGAGGCAGCCCUGGUUCUAGGAUGCUGAGGCCCUGGCCUGGACUCUGGCCUCCCAGAUCCCCAGCUGCCUCACUUGUCUCUUGAGAACUCGGCUCAGGGCUCCUGAGGACCUUUCCCAGCAUUACCUUCCCUUCCCUUGAAAGGCAAUUGUUGGCUGUUUUCAUGAGCAGGAAAAAUAAACAGAACUAU
rnacentral:sRNA from 1 species